UAUUAUUUAAACAUAUAAAACUGGUUGUUUUGACCCUGGAUCCUAAUUGGCUGAAACCCUAUUUGACAGUGAUUAUAAAUCCGCAUACAGUGACAGUAAUCAAACAGCCUGUUUGUAAACAGUAUUACCCCAAGUACAACAAUUGCUUGCAAAUAAUAUUAUAAACUAAAUAAUAUGGUGUUACCAAUUAAUUGUUUCUAUAUGUUGUAACAGUUUUAUAAAAGCAUUACGGCACUCAUCCAGUCAUUGGACAUGAACUGUGUAUUUUCUUGUUGAUUGAGUUUUACUGACAAGCUUCUCAAAACCACUAGGACAUAAAGCUAAGGUACAGUAUGUGGCAGAUAGAUCACCUAUAGGCAGGGUUUAAAUUGUUGUUCACGGGGAGUGAUGUCCCCCUUGUUAACCUACAUUAAAAAGAUUAUACUUGUGUGUGUGAGAGAGAGAGAGAGGGAGAGAGAGAGAGAGAGUAUUCAGUGGUUUUUUGUUAUCUGUCAAAACAUCUUUGCAAGUGUAAAUUACAUUAAUUAUUUUCAUUCCAGUCUCUUCACAAGUAACUCAGACACAUUUGUCACUUGCUUUACAAAUAUAAUCAAGUACUCAAUCAAAAAGCCACUGACAGAGCCUACAUAUUACUGAUCACGAAGAAGACCUCGUGCCACCAUGAGUCAUGAACAGAAAUACAUUGUUGAAAAGUUUAACGUGAAAACAAUUCUCUCAAUGAAAUUUCCAUUGAUGAAGGAUCAGCUCCUGGAGCCAGUUCUGAGCACCAACCUGGACUAUGCAGCGAGAGUAAUACCCCACAUGCAUCAUGCUAUUUUAUCAGAGGCUUCACUCUGCAUCGCAGGGGAAAGAGUGCUUGUGAAAUUGGUCCAAUUCGAUAAGCAAUUUGGCAGCAAAAUCAAUUUAACGGUGAUCUGCAACGAUGGUCAGCCUCAGCUGAUACGGCGUGUGACCUGUGGCGAUGUAAUCACAGACUCAGACGUAAAAGAUUCACACUUCUCAGGGCACAACUGCCAGGAUAUGGUUCAAUCAUGUUAUCAACAAGCCAGGGCGCUACUGUCAAAAGGUAGUAGGAAAAUGCUGCACAUAAUCUGCAACAGCCUGUCUCUCACAUACUCCACUGUUAACCAUGCCGAAGACGGUCAGAUUGUGGUUAGUCAGUCACCACAGACCACACAGCACAGUGCCAUUGACAGUCACAUUCUAAAAACUGAAUGCAGGCUCACUUUUCCAGAUUACUGUAACAUAGAACGGCUGUUGAAAUUGAAAUGUUGGAUUGAACAAGAAAAGCCACAGAAAAGAGGUCUUAUUGCCUGUGUAGAUCACCUCCUAAUGCAGUUCAUUAAAUUUCCCAGAGGAUACUACAGUGGAGGUACCUUCAUUCUACAGAGUGAUGGGGAAAUGGUUACGUUGAUUGAUACUAACGAGUGGUCCGAAGAAUAUUAUAUUUUUUGUGGCCCAAAUGGUGUGUUCAUGUUCCCUACUGAAUGGAAGAAAUGAUCAGGUAAUGAAAAAAUAUUACCAAAGGAUUGAUUUAGAUUUGCCAAAAAAGGAAAAGAAAAAUUAUUUUUACUAUUUGCUGAUGACAGUUUAAACACCAAGAGCAAUGAUGCAUGUUAUUCUCUGCUAUAAAGAAUUAAGCGCUUUAAGUGCUGACUUUCUUCAGAUUAUGUAAUUAGGAAAAGAAAUGGCCACUGAAGUAUUACUCUGCAAGUACUUAUCCUCUGUCAGAUGAGCAAGUUAGCGUGUUGAUACAGUAUUCAAAUUUGGAAGAACUAAUAUUGAAUACAAUGUAUGCAACCUUUUCCCAAACCUCUCACUCCCACUGUUCAUAGCAACUGCAACAAUUUAAGGGGAUUGUAUUAUAAUGGAAAAUUGUGAACUAGGUUUGCUCGGCCCAAUAGUAUUGUAAAGAAAAAAAUAAGAAUAAGAUAAUGAUAUAAUAAAAGUAAAUGA